GCACCGAAUGAGGGUGGGAACCCGUGUUCACUCGAUGCAGGUCUGGGCAGGAGAAGGGAGUGCAGGAAGCAGAUGAAUGUGACUGCAACUCUUACUGCUCUUUCUUCGGACCCGGUCAGGAUCCAUGUGCUCAGCCCAGGCUGGAGGUGCCAAGGCGGGAGCUGGAGGAGGUCUGGGAGCUUCACCUGCAGCAGCACUCGGAUGCUGCAACAUCAGCAGCAUUGAUCUGACUGAGGUAAAAUCAGCAAAUUAAUGACAGGGCAUUUCCAUGCCACGGCAUUUCUGACAGGCACUUCCCAGUUCCUUCCUGGGACAAAUAACUGU
rnacentral:lncRNA from 12 species